CGAUACGACCGUACCGCAAACCGACACUGGUGCGCGAGAUGAGUAUUCUAAGGCGCUUGAGAGAACUCAGGAGAAGGAACUCGGCAAAUUGACACCGUAACUUCGGAAGAAGGUGUGCCCUAUUAGUGUGUAGUGAACAACGAAGCAUGAAUGGGUUGCAAAAAAUCGGUGGCUGCGACUGUUUAUUAAAAACACAGCACUCUGCAAACACGAAAGUGGACGUAUAGGGUGUGACGCCUGCCCGGUGCUGGAAGAUUAAAUGAUGGGGUGCAAGCUCUUGAUUGAAGUCCCAGUAAACGGCGGCCGUAACAAUAACGGUCCUAAGGUAGCGAAAUUCCUUGUCGGGUAAGUUCCGACCUGCACGAAUGGCGUAACGAUGGCCACACUGUCUCCUCCUGAGACUCAGCGAAGUUGAAAUGUUUGUGAUGAUGCAAUCUCCCCGCGGAAAGACGGAAAGACCCCAUGAACCUUUACUGUAGCUUUGUAUUGGACUUUGAACAGAUCUGUGUAGGAUAGGUGGGAGGCUUUGAAGCAGGGUCGCUAGAUCUUGUGGAGCCAACGUUGAAAUACCACCCUGGUGUGUUUGAGGUUCUAACCUAGGUCCAUUAUCUGGAUCGGGGACAGUGCAUGGUAGGCAGUUUGACUGGGGCGGUCUCCUCCCAAAGCGUAACGGAGGAGUUCGAAGGUACGCUAGUUACGGUCGGACAUCGUGACGAUAGUGCAAUGGCAUAAGCGUGCUUAACUGCGAGACUGACAAGUCGAGCAGAUGCGAAAGCAGGACAUAGUGAUCCGGUGGUUCUGUAUGGAAGGGCCAUCGCUCAACGGAUAAAAGGUACUCUGGGGAUAACAGGCUGAUACCGCCCAAGAGUUCAUAUCGACGGCGGUGUUUGGCACCUCGAUGUCGGCUCAUCUCAUCCUGGGGCUGUAGCCGGUCCCAAGGGUAUGGCUGUUCGCCAUUUAAAGAGGUACGUGAGCUGGGUUUAAAACGUCGUGAGACAGUUUGGUCCCUAUCUUCCGUGGGCGCUGCAGAUUUGAGGAAGCCUGCUCCUAGUACGAGAGGACCGGAGUGGACACACCUCUGGUGUAUCGGUUGUCACGCCAGUGGCAUUGCCGAGUAGCUAAGUGUGGAAGAGAUAACCGCUGAAAGCAUCUAAGCGGGAAACUCGUUUCAAGAUGAGAUCUGCCGGGGCCUUGAGCCCCCUAAAGAGUCGUUCAAGACCAGGACGUUGAUAGGUCAGGUGUGGAAGUCAA
rnacentral:rRNA from 1 species